CGCGGGGCGGGGGCAGCUCCGGCCCGGUCCCGCCGGGAUCGCCCCGGCCCCGCUCCGCCAGCGGGAGCGACGCCACCCGCACAACCCGAGGGGACGGAGCUGGCAGAGAGAUGACAUUCCUGCCUGGAACAGAUGCAGCUGCAGUGUGAAUGGAGAGCUAUCCUCAUAUGGCUGAGAGCACGCAAUGCUGAUGGGCGAGUUCAGUGUCCUCAGCCACCCCUUGUCUCCUGCAGUAAAUUCACCUCAUGGGCCCAGGCUCCCGGAAUACGAAGCUGCUGUCACUGUGCUGCUACAGUUCAGCAAGAGAAACUGCCAUUUUCACUCAGAGGACCUUAGGUCAGUCAGGAGCCUCCCACUCCAUAAGCCCUGAGAAGUUCCAGGAAGCUGACACCUGUGAAGCACUGAGGACCAGAAAAGUCUGUGGGUAACCUGCUGGAAACCAGGAUCUAUCCAUGGUGUGACCUUACCCCAAAUCUACCCAUAACAUUGGUCUGUCAGUGCUGGUAACAUCUCAGCAUCCAGAGAGCCCACUGCUCUUGUCAGACCUGGAUGGAUGAAGUGGAAGACAAGUUUGAGGAAUAAGUAUUGCAUUUUUAUAUUGAAUAAAUAGUAGGUAGCUGGUUUUGUUACAGAUUAAGUAGGAUCUAAAUUACUUACCACCCAUGGAAUCUCUUUUUUUUCUUCUUCUCCUUUUAGUAUGUUCUCCUCCUCAAUCUCUUUUUAUAUAAUCUCUGUUUUAUUAUAUGUAAUACUGGUAAAUUCAGCAGCUAGGUUUACUUGCUGAUUGCCAGAAACUCAGCUGCCAGUGGUGGUUGGGAUGGUACCAGAAUCCCUGCAGGGAGAGCAACAGGGGACUCUGCUGCUCUGAAAGGUUAGGGUACCUUAUCAAGACCUAGGUAUUACAGCAUCCGUGUAAGGUUACUAAAGGUUGAUUACCUUCUUUUUUUGUACCAUGGAACACAUUAGGCUGGAAUGAUUUGUCUAAAAUCUUAAAACAAGGCAGUGACAGAGCUGGAAAUAAUCCCCAGAGGCAGGUGCUAUUUGUAACAUAUUUUCUGCAAAUAUUACUUUAUUUGGACAGGUUUUGGUCCAAAUUUUGCAAAUUUCAAAAAAUAAAAUAAAAAUUUCUCAUUACCAAACCUUUGGCAUCCACAUUUGAUUUUAAAUGUGAGGAUGUCUGUCAGUCGGAUGCUACUACUCAUCACUUUCUUACAUCCAUCUUAGAUGUAGUUUUUAAAUUUUCCUAGCUAUAACUCUACUGAUUCUAAUUUGUUGUAAUUUACUUUCUGAAGAAAUAGGACAGACUAUGGUCCAAUAAAAGCAAGUAACAAGAAGAUGGAAGAAAAAAAGUCUAAAGCAUGGUGGGAACCACUACCAUUAACUUUAUGCCUUAUUUAGUGCUCCUCAUUCUAAUUCCUUUGUAUAUAAUGAUACAAGUUUAAAAUCCCAUAUAUUCCCUAAGACUGAGACAAUCUCUAAGAUUUUAAAAUGCUUGAAGAAACUAGCAAAACUACUCCAGACUUCUGUCCAGAACUUUUGUAUUUCUACUUACACUUGAUGGCCUAAAACUUAAUCUGCCUUAUUCAUCAUCUUCAUCCCCUACCCUUAGAAACAGCUUAGCCAGAACAAAUAGUGAAUGUUCUACAGAAAUGGGUUUAGUCAUUAAAGUCAUCUGUCCUGGCUUUUCCUGUGCAUCCUGGAGUUUCAGUACUGGUACUGUACAAAACACAAUUCUGUUGUCAUAGAGGUAAUAAAUAAUUCUGUGUGUUAGGCUUAUGGGUACAAAGUGAGGGUUUAUACUGUCCUCUAGCAAAUCAGAGAAUGCUAAAAUGUUUACUUGCAAAAGAUGUUUUGUCUCAUUUCUCCAUACCUGAUCUUACAUUAGCAGUUAUGAAAGUAAAAAUUACUGCUGUGGUUUUACACAAAAAGAGAAAUUCUGCAAGAGCAAAUUUAAUGGAAUUUUGACCACUUUGUAGUCCUUAGAAUCUGCCACAUUUUCCUCACCACUCAAAUGAUUUUAAAUUAUAAGUAGUUUUGCAAAGCUGUUAGCAUUAUUUUCUCAGCUCACCCAAAGUUUUUGCAAGACUUAUUAUCUAUGAUGAAUCACAUCUUUUAUUCAUAUAGUUAUAAAUGCAUUAAAGCUGACAGGUAUAAUUUGCUGCUUUUUCUCCUUUAGAUUCAGCAUGGUUUCUGAAAAUAAGCUAAUUUAAUAACUAGGGAACCUAAGUUAUAAUCAAAUUUAUUAUAUUUACCAGACUUGAAUUUCAGAUGGGAUAACAUUAAAAAUGUGCUUGUAGAGGAAAGAACAGAAUUGCCGGUGGGCAUUGAAUUAGCAGCCUGAAAAAUAUCUAAAAAUGUUGUGAUCCGGGGUGUUAUGAUGGUGAGAGGAGGAAGAGGAGUUCUGUUUAUCUGUAGCUUUUACAUGUUGCAAACUGGAAUGAAGGUUAGAACCCCAGGCCAAUGCUUCAGUUUAGGGGAAAGAGUGUUUUCUUUUUAAAUUUUCCAGUGACUUAGAGUGUGCCUUUAUAACAUAGCCCUGCAACUCUGCCUACAAAUCUCUAAAUUUCUGUUAGAAAGGACAUGCUGUUCAUGUGCUUGUAUGAGCACUUGCCACUGUACAUGGCAUACCAGAUGUAAUCCUGUGAGUUCAGCAUCCACAAAAUUUCUGCUAAAUUCUUGAUGAGAUUUGUGCUUGGAAGGCUGGAUCAAGGUUUCAUGUCUGGAAGUGCUGAGUGAAAGGUCUGUUCAAAACCAAUCCAACAGAAACACAAAAAAUUAGAUCUUUUCCUUUUCUUGUAUCUCAUGUUAGUCUCCUCUGAGUCUUGGUCCCCCACUCCUCUUAACCAAGUCUGUGGCACAGAUUGUGUUUUAUUUAUUGAUAUAUGUUAAGACAGCCUCUUAUUUUGGGAUUAUAUUAGUUGCAUUUGUAUUGUGGAGAUUUCUAAUUCCCAAAGGUGCUGCCUUUUGUCUUUGUGUACACAAUUUAAACUGAAGCAGAGUUUUUGUUUUUCCCAGGGGCUUCUACAGACUUUCAGAUAUUUAAACUCUGAAAUUAUGUUUCUUUAUGGUUUGUCAUCUGUUAAAGACUGCUGGCUGCACUAAAACCAGCAAUAGAGGUUAACAAGGAUGAAAAAGAAGUGUUCCAGAGAACCAAUAUAUCAUGGAGUAUUCCUCUCCUGGAGGUACAUUGCCACUUAGAAAUCACUAGGAAUAAUGGUCAUACAAAUACAAAGAAAGAGAUUUUUUAAAAUGGCUGAAAUUUUGCUUAAUAUUGAAAAGCUUAAUUAAGGAAGAGCUUGAGGUUUCAGCAUGUGCAAAGGGGAUUUUCUCUGUGUGGAUGUGGUACACCAUUGGCAGGACACAGUGAGUCAGCUGUUCAUCUGGCUCUGCUGUAGUUCUAACCCUCCACAGCUGAGAAUGCUCAUGUCACAAGUGGGUGGAGGAGAAUAUUAGCCCCUGGCUAAUUCAGAAGAUGUCUUUGCUAUGAUGCAGAGCCCUUGGUGCUAAAGGUAGUUUUGACCAAGAGAUUAUGGCACCGGGGCCAUAGCUGGUAUGAAGAUACAAGGUCUUGCUCUAGAAUUCCAUAUUCUUUUAGUCUCUAUUUUACAGACAUAGUUUUUUGAGGAGUCUCAUAGUUUGAAGAUGACAAAUUUAGUAAAAAAAGUUGAAGAGGAUCUUAUUGUUACAGAAGAAGAACUAAAUGAACUUUUAGUAGAAAGGUAGGAACAUGAUGAAAUGUCAUAAUACCCACUGCAAAGUCUCUGGGUAUUAUUCUUAAGAGCAGAAUGCUAGAAUUUUGUGCUAAAUGCUCAGUGAUUCAGAGCUUGAGGACACAGUACAUGAGUAAGUAUUUCUUGCCUUAGUCAUCAAACAGCCACAUUAAAGCAUGACUAAGAAGAAAGGCAAGGCAGCAGUGAAAUGUGGAGAUGAUGAGAUAGCUCCAUACUGAGAGCAGAACUGGAGAUGAGAUCAAAGAUGAUUGAAUUGAGUUCAUUGUACCUUGCUCAAAAAGUAAAGAAGCAGGGAACGGUAAGAACCUUUCAAUAAUUAUAAGCAAUCAGAGGGAGAAAACAAACCCCGGAAGACAAGACGUAAAAACAGCUCACAUGACGUGGUAAUCUCAUAGUUUAUGCUGUCAGCAAAAAGAGAUUGGAUGAGUUUCUGCAGACUCAACGGUACUUGCCAUGCAGAGGCAGUCAGUACUAUUGAAAUGCUGAAACUGAUGGGAACCAGCUAGGCUGUCGUGACUGGGAACAGACGUCCUCCA